rnacentral:sRNA from 1 species
CUGCUAAACAAUCAUCUUGAAAUUGUUUUGUUUUCUCCUACAGAGUGGAUGACUUCGGGGAGCCAUGUCUCAUAGACACUGAAAUUCCCGGAACUUCUGUCAUUGGAAGGAUGUUUGGAAACGUGAACAGUGUCAUACGUGACUUACUGAGACCACUAAAUGCUGAUUUCACAAGUAUAGGUGUGGACGACUUCGGAGAACCUGUCUUUAUUCAGGACAAAGUUAACAAUGACUCAAAGACAGCUCCAGUUUCAGAAAAUCUUAGAACAAACAAGUGAAUGGAAGAUAAAGGGAUACAACUCAUAAAACUUUAUUGUUUUUCCUUUUUAUUUGUUAUCUCCCCUUAUUUUGCAUUUUAAAUAUUUUUUCCUAACAGACCAUGACAUGUUUGACGUUGAACUUUUUAUUAUGACGUGCCUUUGGAACAACGUGAAUCAACAAGAUGAGUGAAACGGAAUACAAAAUAUAUACAAAAAAAUCAAGAUACAAAUAAUGUAUAAAAUAUAUACAAAGGAUACAAAUAUACAAAACUAUUUUUUGAUCAGAUUGAGAAUUUACUUUUUUUUUUUUCAUUUUAUUAAAUUUAAUUGUGUAAUUAAUUUUACUGCAAUGAACGCCUGAUAACUACUUACAUUUUUUGUGCAAACAAAUAUAUAAUUAAAUAUAUUCCUUUUUAUGUAACCUU